GGAAUCCCAGGAUUUCCUGGAAACCGAGGAUUAAUGGGCCAAAAGGGAGAAAUUGGGCCUCCAGGACAGCAAGGAAAAAAAGGAGCCCCAGGGAUGCCUGGUUUAAUGGGAAGCAAUGGCUCACCAGGCCAGCCUGGAACACCGGGAUCUAAGGGAAGCAAAGGUGAACCUGGAAUUCAAGGGAUGCCUGGGGCUUCUGGGCUCAAGGGAGAGCCAGGAGCAAUGGGUUCCCCAGGAGAACCAGGAUACAUGGGUUUACCCGGGAUUCAAGGAAAAAAGGUAUGCAUUGGUUAGGAGAUACAGUUCGCUUUUAACCAGUUACUUGCAAACAAGUUUUUCUUUUGUGAAAUUCUUAAAGUAGGACUUGUUAUUAAUAUAUUUUUAAUGAUAAAGUACCCUAUAUAUUCGAUGUAUGUAUAAUAUGUUCAGCCCCAUGCUAAUAGCUGUGGCAUCUUUUAUAUACCCACAUGGGUAUUGUCUCCUAGAUGAAGACCUUAGAAAAGACAUGCAGAUCAGAAAAUAUGAAUGUACAAUUAAGUAAUAUCCUGUAAAUUC
rnacentral:sRNA from 1 species